UAAGACCUUGCGCUUUUUGAGCGGCCGAUGCCUGAUUAGCUUGUUGGUGGGGUAAAGGCUUACCAAGGCAACGAUCAGUAGCUGGUCUGAGAGGAUGACCAGCCACACUGGGACUGAGACACGGCCCAGACUCCUACGGGAGGCAGCAGUGGGGAAUAUUGGACAAUGGGCGAAAGCCUGAUCCAGCCAUGCCGCGUGAGUGAAGAAGGCCUUCGGGUUGUAAAGCUGUGUCGGUCGGGAACAAAUAGUUGCGGUUAAAAGCUGCAACAAAUGACGGUACCGAGAUAAGAAGCACCGGCUAACUACGUGCCAGCAGCCGCGGUAAUACGUAGGGGGCAAGCGUUAAUCGGAAUUAUUGGGCGUAACGGGUGCGCAGGUGGUUAUAUAAGUCAGAUGUGAACUCCCUGGGCUUAACCUAGGAAUU
rnacentral:rRNA from 1 species